GUACAGUUGGUUUUUACUGUAGUGACAUCUGCUGGUCACAUCUGAAUCCAGUCAGCAAGCAAAGUCUUUGGUGUGACUGUUGUUUUUGUUUUGUUUUGUUGUCUUUGUUUUUUAAGCAAACAGUAAAAUUUGAAGUCUUGUAUGAAGAAAACAAAAUGCAGCGUCAAAAAUGCCAAUAUACACAACACAAUAGAAUAGAACAGAAUAUGUCUUUGUUAUUGUACAAGUACAGCGAAAUUGAAAAUUCAAUCCUCACAGUGUAAAAACUAUUUACUACUGAAAAGGUUAAAAAAAACAAAAACUACUAAACACAUACUUUAAAAGAAGUAUGAAAUAAAUAAAUAAACAAAACAAAUAAUUAGCAGCCUCAAACGGGAGACACAUUACACAUACACAUUCACAUUCUGCAGGCAUUGCAGAAUGUGAAUGUGAAUGUGUGUGCUGCACCACAGCGGGAUAGUUUCUGGACAGUGUGGGGUGAGUGUGUCUGAGCACAAAGGUCACUGAACCUAAUGUGUUAUUUUGUUGAAUUAUUAAGGAUUCAUUGUCUGCUUCUGCAGGUUAUCUGGACCAUUGCUCACAGACUCAUCUGAAUGUUGAGGGAAUUGUUGUGAUAAGGAUCUAUAAGACAUAUCUGUGGUCGGUCAUUGGAUGUCCUGGGACUUCUCUCUCCUCCCUGGUUCUCUGUUCCACAUUUCAGAU